CCUACGGGAGGCAGCAGUGGGGAAUAUUGGACAAUGGGCGAAAGCCUGAUCCAGCAAUUCCGCGUGUGUGAAGAAGGCCUUCGGGUUGUAAAGCACUUUAGUUGGGGAAGAAACAGUUUGGCCACACCAAGCCUUGACGGUACCCAAAGAAUAAGCACCGGCUAACUCUGUGCCAGCAGCCGCGGUAAUACAGAGGGUGCAAGCGUUAAUCGGAUUUACUGGGCGUAAAGGGUGCGUAGGUGGUUUUGUAAGUCGGAUGUGAAAGCCUGGGGCUCAACCUCAGAAUUGCACUCGAUACUGCAAGACUAGAGUUCGGUAGAGGGCGGCGGAAUUCCCGGUGUAGCGGUGAAAUGCGUAGAUAUCGGGAGGAACAUCAAUGGCGAAGGCAGCCGCCUGGGCCUGAACUGACACUGAGGCACGAAAGCGUGGGUAGCAAACAGGAUUAGAUACCCUGGUAGUCCACGCUGUAAACGAUGAGAACUUGACGUUGGUUCGUUUUACGAAUCGGUGUCGCAGCUAACGCGAUAAGUUCUCCGCCUGGGGAGUACGGCCGCAAGGUUGAAACUCAAAGAGUAGUGGCGNGNGAGACGCGACGACGACGACGACGGAGGAGG
rnacentral:rRNA from 1 species